AACUUUUUUGAGUUAAGACGAGGAUAAACUUAAUGAAUCCAUACUGUGAGCGGAUAGGGAAACUGAUAAAAAAGCUGGCGAUAUUUUGUGCCUGACUCAACAUAUUUUUCACUGGAAGAAUUGAACACGCUUUGGCAACAAUAAGGUUUAAACGAUGACUGGAGUAAUGAACAUGCAACGCCUUCGGGUUUUUCUCUAAUAUUCUCCCAGAAAUACCUUUUACCUGGCUGGACACAGCACUAGCACCGUCAUAUCCCUGGCCUCGACAAUUUUGAAGGGAAGCCCGACAUCUUGAAGUGUACUUUGACUAAUGAACGGAAUCAAAUCCAAAGGCGAAACAGUUUGGUAUACAAAUGAAAAUGUUCUUGAAUCAUGUAAAACUUCAAAUUUAUUCAAGAAUGUAUUAAAUUAUCCAGAAAGUAUAAGCUUGGAGUUAUCAUUAAAAAGUGCCUUGCACCAGAUAUUUUCGAUAAUUAGCUAUCGAGACCAUCCUCAGUUGUUCGGGCUGGAAUACACAAGCGGUCAGCUGAGAAAUUACUCGUCUUCCGACAGGGAUAUAUCAUUGGCUGGUUAGCUACACGGGGUUAGAGGCAGUGGAAAUGGAGAUGUUUGUGUAAAAACGACCCCAACGAAGAGACGGUUAUCGUUGGG